GGUGUGAAUUUCAGCCUGCUCGCCGGAAAGGGAAAUAAAAUCUGCUACGCAUCUGUUUUCGGAGCCAAAAUCGAAGGGUUUGGAGUGUGAAUUUGGGAAUCAUUCCUUCUCGAAAAUCGUAGAGGACCUCGAAAACUGUGAGUGUGUCAUUCGUGGUUGUGUACCUAAGAAAAUUUUGGUCUAUGAUGUUGCUUUUGGUGCUAACUCGAGCUAUGUUGGCGAAAUUCUGAGAAAUAGUAAACCUUCUGCCGCACCUGUUUUCGGAGCCGAAAUCGAAGGGUUUGGAGUGAGAUUUUCGAAUCAGUCUCUUCACAAAAGUCGUCGAGGACCGUGAUAAUUAUAUGUAAGUGUUAAAUUGCUUCUAAUUCGAGCAAGUUUUAUAGCCUUUUAGAGAUGAGAAUUUGACGGCAGUGAGUCUGCCAAAAACAGGGCAGUUUUGAUGAAUCAUCUUCGUUGGGUUUUAUUACCAUCUUAGGAUAAUAAUUUGGGAUAUAUUUCUUAAGUAAACUUUUAGAUGAAGUUGUCAGCUUUGAUUUGGUAUAUUGUUUGGCCAAUUUGGAUAAC